GGACAGGGACCAGUGUGAAGAGAAAAGAGGGUGAAGUACAGGUGCCGGGCACCCGCGGAGCUCUGAAUGGUGGCGGCGCGGCGCGGCCGCCCUAUGCUCCGUGCCUGCUGCGCCCGGUUCUGCUCGCAAAAGAAACGAGUCAUUCCUGCCGCUGGUGACCUGAAGUGCUCAGGUCACGUGCCCCUAGACAAAACGCCCGUCCACUGUAAGUCUUGGUUUCGCAGUCGCCCGCUGCCUCACUGGAUAUCGAGGAUCAUUGCAAUAAUGUAUUGGAAAACGAUAGAGCAGUAGAGCAUUAUUGGAUCAAGGGGACACGGGUUCGAGCCCUGGUCUGGGAAGAUCCCACAUGCCACGGAGCAGCUGGGCCCGUGAGCCACAAUUGCUGAGCCUGCGCGUCUGGAGCCUGUGCCCCGCGACGGGAGGGGCCGCGAUAGAGAAAGGCCCGCGCACCGCGAUGAAGAGCGGUCCCCGCACCGCGAUGAAGAGUGGCCCCCGCUUGCCGCAACUGGAGAAAGCCCUCGCACGAACCGAAGACCCAACACAGCCAAAAAUAAAUAAAUAAAUAAAUAAAUAAAUAAGAAAAUCCUUUAAAAAAAAAAAAAAAAAGAAAUCAUUGGGUUUCUAACCCAAACCUGAACAUUAUGAAAGUGCACACAUUUUCUGUGCUUGUGUGUUCAUUUUUCUGUAGAUUGGGCCCGUAACCUUCAUUGGAUUCUCAGAUAUGUCCAUCACCCCAAAAACGUUAAGAACUACUUAAGAAUAGGUUUAGAAUGAGAUGAGUGCAGUGGUUUGGGGGAAUUAAUUGGUACCAUAGCCUCCCAGCUUACACUGGUGCUAGUUUGGAAAUAUAAAAGAAGGUAUAAAUCCUGCCUGAGAUUUUCUGAUUAAGGAAGUGACACAAUUAGAAAACAAUAGGCAGUGCUCUCAAGGAGGUAAUAAUUUAAACUGUGGAAAAAUCUUUAGGGAGGAGUAUUGAGAGUCAAGUUGAGUAUGCUGUGUGUGGACCUCAUUGAAACAAAUGGGUUGGGUGUUAAAUAAGAGAGUGCCUUCAGUGGCUAACAGAAAAACUGAUGCAUUAGGGUGACUUGAUGGAAAGUACAUAUUUUUUAAUUACUAAGAAAAAUAGAAAAGGAGAGAAUAAAAGGAUUGUUUCAAUGUAGGGAUGAGGAGUUGGGCCAUAUUGGUGACAAAUUAGAAGUGAGAAAAGAGAGUCAAACAAUAGUUUAGUCAGGUGACAGAAAAUGAGAAAAAUGGGAAGGAAAUAAGAAAAUUCAUAGAGUUAGGCCUGUCUGCAGACCCCAAGUGGUUACUAUUUUUCUU